rnacentral:rRNA from 1 species
AUUGAACGCUGGCGGCAUGCCUUACACAUGCAAGUCGAACGGCAGCACGGGGCAACCUGGUGGCGAGUGGCGAACGGGUGAGUAAUGCAUCGGAACGUACCUUUCAGUGUGGGAUAACGUAGCGAAAGUUACGCUAAUACCGCAUAUUCUGUGAGCAGGAAAGCAGGGGAUCGCAAGACCUUGCGCUGAUUGAGCGGCCGAUGUCAGAUUAGCUAGUUGGUGAGGUAAAGGCUCACCAAGGCGACGAUCUGUAGCGGGUCUGAGAGGAUGAUCCGCCACACUGGAACUGAGACACGGUCCAGACUCCUACGGGAGGCAGCAGUGGGGAAUUUUGGACAAUGGGGGCAACCCUGAUCCAGCCAUGCCGCGUGAGUGAAGAAGGCCUUCGGGUUGUAAAGCUCUUUCGGCCGGGAAGAAAUCGCACGGGCUAAUACCCUGUGUGGAUGACGGUACCGGAAUAAGAAGCACCGGCUAACUACGUGCCAGCCGCCACCGUAAAAC